CAACAAAGAACUGCCCCGCCCCAAAUGUCAUUUGUGUGGGAGCCAAGAAACCCUGCUAUGGGGCAGUGGUCAGAGACCUUUGUCGUGCUUUGAAAGGGGCUGGGCUGGGCUGGGCAGGGCAGGGCGGGUCGUGGCCCACCUGGGGCCACAGUUCAGAGCCACACUUGGGUCUUUGAGGCUGCCCACCCUCCCAGCUGCCAGCAUGGGGUUGGGGGGUGUCCACCCCCAUCAGACUGAGGAGGAAACGGACACUGUGUCACCCAGAAGCAUCCCUAUGUCACCCUGUGAGGCUGGCCUUGGACCCAGGACUCUGGGCGCCUGGUCAGCACCCCAGUGUGAACACAUCCUGCCCUGGGGCCUGGUCCCAGCAGCUCACACAGACCAGGGCUUGCCCAAAGGCAGGUAGGCAGGGCCACUGCUGACCAUGCACCUGGUGGGCCGUGAUUCUGGAACUAAUGGUCUCUGCCUGGCAGGGAGGCCGCCAGGGCCUCUGGGCUUCACCCCUCCCAACCUUCACAGGGGACCUCACCUCAGUGGGAAUGUUCUGGAGCCGGAACCCAAGGUUGGAAUCCCAGCUCCUCCCCUUUCUAGGGCAAGCUCCCAGCCUGUCUGUACUCAGUCUCCCCAACUGUCAAAUGGUAAUAAAACAGUCCUGUCCUCACUGAGUUGUUUGGAUGGGUGAGCAUCAGGUGUCUAGGGCACAGCAUGCUGUGAAGGAGUUAGGAGGGCCAGGUGAAGGAGCCAUGCAGGGCCGGGCCUCCUGGGUAAUGGGGCUAAGAGGAGAAUUCUGUAUGUGGUUCUGAGAAGGAGCAGAGUCCAGCUCUUUUGGAUGUUUGUAUUAGGAAAUUUACUAGAGACCAUGUCACUGCUCCACUCGGAAUCCUCGGGUGGCUUCCCAGUGCCCUUGACAUGGAAUCAAACUCCUCGCUUGGCCAUGCAAUCCGGGCCUGGUAUCCUGGCCCCCUCCCCAGUCCACUGUGGUUGGCUGUGCUGGCCUCGGGGAUCCCAGGCCCUCCACCCUCAUGCCCCACUGAGCACUUGCACCUGUGUCCCACCUCCAGCCCUCACCAGCUGUCCUCCAGCUCUCAUCUGUGAUGCAUCCGCCAGACCUCUGCUCCCAGCCUGCCCUCUCUAAUCUAUAAUCUCAUUUUAUUCUCUGUGUGAGCAUUCAGACUGAUGCUGCCCUGUGCCCGUGCCUGUCAUCAUCCCAGCACACGUGCAGUGUCCCAUAAAUACUGCAGAAUGACUGAGUGAUCAGACCUAGAGAGCCCCAGCCCUGGGUCCACCCUCACUGUGCCUGCACGCGGUGCCAGAGGAGGGCCUGGCCAGGGGCCAGCUCUGCACACUCCAGUCCCGGGGCUCGGCCUUUCCCCUAACCAGUGAGUGUGGGCGUCAGUUCGGGCUGCUGUAGAAGAGACCACCAAUCCAGGGCCUAAUCAAUGGAAACUCGUCUCCUGGUUCUGGGAGCUGGAAAUCUGAGGUCAGAUGUGGGCAGAGCUGUUUCCACAUGAGGGCUGUGAGGGUCUGUCCUGACCUCUCUUCUGGCAUCUGGUGGCUGCUGGUGACCUCUGGCCUUCCUUGGCUUGCAGGGAGACCCCGUCUCUGCCUCAUGCCCUCUUGGCAUUCCCACUGUGAGUCUGUCUCUCCAUGUGGUGUUCUUUGUAUGAGGACAGCAUUCCUCCUAAAUUAGGGGCCCGCCCACCCCAGUGCUACCACAUCCUAAUUAAUUACAACACAGCAAUCUGGUCUCCAAGCAAGGGCAUGCCAUUAGACUCUGGAGAUUAGGGCUUCAGCAUACGAAUUGGGGAGUGGGGGCACAAUUCAGCACAUAAUUGUGGGGCUUUUCUGAUGUGUUUUCUUUUCCGAGCUCCCCUCAGCCCCGUUCACUGUAACCGACGGCUUCACCUGCUCCCUGGGAACACUCAGCAGCCCGUGCUGUGCUCCCAAUCUCCUGGGUGUGUGUGGGGUGUGGGGCAGCUCCCCUAUCUCAGUGCUCCCUGCUGCUCCCCCCUGAUGCCUCACACGGGUCCUGCCCACUGCCUGUGUCUGGCUAACCAGCUUUCUUUUGGGGAAACACCCAGUGAUGGUGGUGGGGUGGUGACAGGAGCCUGUGCGUGGUCUACGGGGCUCUGUGUGGAUGUCCUCAUCUGACUGUCCAGCACUCAACCAAAGUGGUGCUGUAUGGGGGGAAGGCAGGGCCACACAGGAUUCAUACCCGGCCAGUGUGCCUGCUGGUCCCUGGGACUCUGCGGCCUCCCCAGUGCCCACGGUGCUCUGAGUAUGAGGCACCUGUGCCUGGCCAGAGGCUCGCUCUAGAACCCAGGGUGGCACCGACACUGGGCACCAUGGCUUCACACAGAGCACCCUGACUUCAUCAGUGCUGCCUUGCUGACUCUGUCUUCUCUUCUUGAGGACUGACACCUGGCCUCACACUCUGGAGGACCCUCUCCAGGCCCUCCUGACCCACCCCUGGUGACCCCUAACCCUCUUUAGCUGACCCUGGCCUGUGUCCUCACCUGUGCCUGCCUGCCAUCACCCUCUCUCAUUGCCUGUGCCCCAGACAGUUCCACAGCUUCCAUCAGAAAUGGUCCAGUAUCCCAUGCCAUCCUGCCCUGCUAGGAAGAGGGGCUGCUGCCAGACCAAUUCUUACUGUAGCAUCCAGGACAGAAACAGCAGGCGUGAGCUGCCUCUCAGAGGGACCUUGGGUGCCUUAUCAGGAAGCCUGGCUUUGAGAGUGGAUGUCAGGCCCUGGGUGAGGUGGAGGGAAUUGGCAGGUCCACUGUGGGCCUGGUGGAGAAGAAGGACAAAGGCCAGCCUCUUUUGUGUGGCAGGGUUUGUGGCAUCAUCAUCCCCUGGAACUAUCCCCUGAUGAUGCUGUCCUGGAAGACAGCUGCCUGCCUGGCUGCCGGGAACACAGUGGUGAUCAAGCCUGCUCAGGUGACCCCACUCACAGCCUUGAAGUUUGCAGAGCUGACAUUAAAGGCCGGCAUUCCCAAAGGUGUGGUUAACGUCCUCCCAGGAUCUGGUAAGAGCCAUUGUCGGGGGCAGGGCUAGGGCUUCUGGCAGCUGGAGAUGCCACUGGGCAGAGCAGGCCCUACUGGAUAGUGGCGUGAGGGCAGAGUAGCCUGGGGAGAGCCCAGGCGGGGGCCAGCCUGUGACAAAGGAGGCCCCUCCCAUGGGGGAGGGCACCCGCACCUGGAAGGGCUUUCGUCUUCAGAUGCCCCAGCUGAAUGUAUUCCAGUGUGUGUGUGUGUGUGUGUGUGUGUGUGUGUGUGUGUGUGUGUGUGUGUGUGUCCGCGCGCCCUGGAAUAAACUUGUUACUUGGGGAUUUUCUGCCCUUGGAAGUUUGAGAGAAUUUUUCUUUAGAACAUUUCAGGCUUAAAGCAUUUAGGGAGGUCAUACAUGAAUCAUUUUUUAAGUUUCUGUUGUGUUUAGUGGUCUAGUUUAUGGAAAAGUCUCUUCUUGUGCAGAUUUCAAAUGUAUUAGCGUGAAGUUGUAUAUAAUAAUCUCAUAAUUUUUAUCUCCUUUUUGGAUUUUCCUUUUGAUUGUUAUAAUACAUUCUUUAUAUUUUUCCUU
rnacentral:lncRNA from 1 species